rnacentral:lncRNA from 1 species
CAUUUGAUUCAUCUAAUUCACUAUCUAUUUCAUUAUCUGUUUCAUCCUCCGAAAUUUCAUAUAUACUAUCUUCACUUUCUAAUUCAUAAUCUAUAUAAUCUAUCUGCAUAUAUUCUAUAUUUUUUAUUUUUAUUUCUGAUAUUUGUUUAUUUUUUGGGUUUUUUGGUAAUUUACAAUCUCUAGCUAAAUAUCCUAGUUUUCC